AGGGGCGGAACAGUUGCCCCAAUAAUAUCUGAUCCAAUACUGACCGUCCGCUCGUAUUCUUCAGUUUUUCACUGACCUCAAGUUCUGUCUCGCUGGUUUCAGGAACACGACCAAAACCCUAACCCUAAUCAUAAUCCUGCGAACCGCAUCCGUCCAUGGCCUCGGAUGCACAUGGCUCCCGUCGUAAGCACCGGCGCUCAUCUUCCCCCGAAGAAGUUGAGCGAUCCUCUAAGCGUCACAAGCACCGGCACCAUGGCAACCGGCAUCAUCGGCACCGCCACAGUGGCAGGAAACGCGAAGAAGAGCUUGAACUUGAUGCUGAAACUGUCGAUAAGGUUCCUUCUCCUACUCUUGCCCCUAAUUUUGAUCCGAAGGUCCCUAGGCUUGAUGAUGAUGUGGAGGAGGGUGAGAUUCUCGAAGAGGAGGGUUCCGGUGGCCGAGAUGGUGACGUUGGAAAAAAGCAUACGGAGUCCGAUGUUGAGUCUGGUGAGAUUAUGGCCACGGGAGGUCGAGGUACUCGAUCUGAUAAUUCAAAUCCAGUACAUUGCACUGAAGAGAUGUUGCAUCGAAAAGAUGCUGUUCCUUCUAAAGAGACGGUAGGGAGCAAUGCUAAAGGUUUAGAAACUGAUAAUGAGGAUAUUAACAAUGGUAGAUUUGUUAGUCCAGGAUUGGAUGGAGAUGCUAUUUGCCAUCAGAGACAUACUGGUUAUGACAGAAAUGAGGUUGAUGGUUCUUCUACUCAUUCAAGUGCCGAGUCUCUGGAUGGUAAGCAUGCUAGAGCUAGUUCAGUUGGUUUGGGCAAUGGGUAUUUGGAUCGUAAAUCUUCCAAAGAGGAUAAAUGGCAGCAUGGGGAGCUCAGAUGUUUUAGAGGAAAUGAGAAGCUAAAAGGUGACUAUGAUAAUGAAGACCUGGAGGUUACUGGAGGCAAAGCUAGGAUUCAUAGAAAAAACUCCUCCCCUGAAAGUGGAGGAGGCAAAUAUAAGACCGGGGAAAGCUCACCUAACUAUAGAUGUAGGAGUCAAUCUAGAUCAAGUGGUCAUACUCAUACUGUAAUAGAAUAUGCUCAUUACAGGAGAAGGAAUGAUGAGGAAAGAAUAGAGGAUCAUGGCAGGGAGCGUGAACAUGUCAGUAGAGAUUUAAUGGUAGGUGAUAGAAGGGAGCACAGUUCCAGUUACUACAGUCGAGAGGCCCGAGACAGAGAGAGAAGCAAGGACAGGGAGGGGGAUAGGGACCUAAGAAGGGAAAAGGAACGAGAAAGGAGUCGGAAUAGGGAGGAUGACCGUGCACAUAGGAGGGAAAAAGAACGUGAAAGGAGUCACGAGAAGGACAGAAGGGAUGCUGAAAAAGAUAGGAGCAGGGGAAGAGAGGUGGACAGGGAUAGAAGAAGAGAGAAGGAGCGAGAUAGAGAUAGGAACUGGGAGACAAUGGCUGAGCGGGAGAGAAGGGAUAGGGAAAGAGAGAGGAGCAGGGACAGAGCAAGGGUUGGAGAGAGAGGUAGAGUCCGGGAGAGUGAAAGGGAUGAUAAGCAUCGAGAAAGAGAUAAGAUUAGGGACAGAGAGAGGCAUAAGGAUAGAAACGCCCUUGAUAAAGAUAAAUAUCUGGGUAAUGAGCAUGGUAAUGAUAGCCGGGACAGAGAUGUACGGUCUAGGCAUUCAAGACAUGAAGAAGCGGAAAGCCAUCGGGAGAGAAAAAGAAAUUCUGAGUCUGUGAAAGCUGAUAACCCUCUGGACAGAGGUGAGGAUGAACAAGAUGACUUAGAUGAGAUGGUUGCAUUGCCAUUUGCUGAACAAGAAGAAGAAGAUUUCAAUAGAAUUAAGGAGGAGAGUAGAAGGAGAAGGGAAGCAAUCUUGGAGAAAUAUAAAAAGCAGCAACCACUGCAGCAUCAACAAGCAGAACAAACUUAUGAAAGUACAGAAAAAGAUAAGGAUCCUGUGAACAUUCCGGCUGCUGUUUCUGAAGCUGCUGAUUCUAAGAAUGAUGGUGUUGAUGUUUUUGAAGCGGAAACAUCUUUUUCUGUUGGUAAAUCUCCUCGAGAAAAUGGAAAUGCUGCAUCUGAAAAGAUCCCUGGUGUUGCUGGGGGCUUGGGAGAGGGUACUCCAAAGAGUGAAAGAUCUGAUGACAAGUUUUGUGAUGACAUAUUUGGUGAGACACCAACGGGAGUUCGGAAAUCGGGCAAAGGGGAUGGAUUGCGUGUUGAUAGAGGUGGAUUGCAUGACAAUUGGGAUGAUGCAGAGGGGUAUUACAGCUAUCGUUUUGGUGAAAUACUUGAUGGUCGAUAUGAAGUUAUAGCAGCUCAUGGUAGAGGUGUCUUUUCGACAGUUGUUCGUGCAAAGAAUCUAAAGGCUGGUAAUGGUGAGCCUGAAGAAGUAGCUAUAAAAAUUAUUCGUAAUAAUGACACUAUGUACAAGGCUGGUAUGGAUGAGUUGGUCAUACUAAAGAAAUUAGUAGGUGCUGAUCCAGAUGACAAGCGUCAUUGUGUUCGUUUCCUUUCAAGUUUUAAGUACAGGAAUCACCUUUGUUUAGUUUUUGAAUCUCUUCAUAUGAAUCUGCGUGAGGUUUUAAAGAAGUUUGGUCGCAAUAUUGGCCUUAGGCUAACAGCUGUGAGAGCAUACGCAAAACAACUUUUUAUUGCACUGAAGCAUCUUCGGAACUGUGGUGUUCUUCAUUGUGAUAUAAAGCCAGACAAUAUGUUGGUGAACGAGGCUAAAAAUGUGUUGAAGCUUUGUGACUUUGGUAACGCUAUGUUUGCUGGAAAGAAUGAAGUUACACCAUACCUUGUUAGUCGUUUUUAUCGUGCCCCUGAAAUAAUACUUGGCUUGCCAUAUGAUCAUCCGCUGGAUAUAUGGUCUGUAGGCUGUUGCUUGUAUGAACUCUAUACCGGAAAAGUUCUUUUUCCGGGUCCUAGUAACAAUGACAUGCUACGUCUUCACAUGGAAUUGAAGGGCCCUUUUCCAAAGAAGAUGCUUCGUAAGGGAGCAUUUAUUGAUCAGCAUUUUGACCAGGACUUGAAUUUUCUUGCUACAGAAGAGGAUCCAGUGACAAAAAAGGCUAUAAAGCGGUUGAUUCUCAAUAUAAAGCCCAAAGAUAUUGGAACUAUCAUUGCUGGCUCUCCUGGAGAGGAUCCAAAGAUGUUAGCCAAUUUCAAAGAUCUUUUGGACAAGGUUUUUGUCCUGGAUCCAGAGAAGAGGUUGACAGUUUCACAGGCAUUAAGCCACCCAUUCAUCACUGGCAAGUGAACAAUGUUGCUGAUUUUGUCUGCGAAAUGAUGUUUGCUGAUUUUUGUACAUAAUGACCCAAUUCAUAGUGAUUCUAAUCAUUUGACAUUAUUUAUCCUCUCUGCCCCGUCCAAGGGGUGUCAGCAACGCUUGUUGGCAUGUUGAAGUGAUAAAGGGUGAUGUCUGAUCAGGCGUACACUUUACUGGCGGUUCUUUCAGUGGAAUGUACUGUUUCUAUUGAGACCUAUCAAUGCUGUGAGGCAACCCUCCAGUUCUUUAGAUGCUUUAAUGGCACUCAGGAGAAGGUACCUUGGUUUGUUUAUUGGGAAAAUUAAUUUGACCACACUGGAAUGAGUAAAAAUUUACUUAAAAUUCUAUAGGCACUAGUAGAUUAGUCACUUCUCUUGAUUGUAAAUUAAUGUUGUGCUUGUGUGGUCUAUUUAAGGUCAUUGGAAAAGCCUUAAUGUUGCCAUUGCUAAUUUGUAAUGUGGGUUCGCGUACUGUGGAAUCAAUCUUUAUGCCAGCAUUAUUCUAUGCCUUAGAAAGUAAGUCACAUGAGUGACAUUGCUAAAGAAUAGUGUAUUUUAUUGUUCUGUGGGUAUUCCUUUGAUUGAUCAAGCUGUAUAACAUGCAAAUUGCUUGGCAUGUGGUGCAUGUCCUUUUAGCUUGGAAAUAUAGAUGUGCAUGGGACGAUAAUUUUAUUAGCUUAUCCUUUAGUCCAGAAUCUUUGUAGUAUUUUAUUUCAAUUAUUUCUUAAAUUUGAAUUUGAAUUUAUGCAAAUCCUAAUGAAAUUGCGUUGCAUCUUAUCCAUGGCCUGAUCAUUCCGGAGGCAUUUCUACUGGAGGUGUUUGGCUGUGUUCUUGAAGGGAAUUCUUAUCUCAGGGGGUAAUUAAAUCCAGAAACUUCUGUUCAAUUUACCUUGUGGUACAGUAUCUUUGGUCCUGCUAUUUUUGUAAGUAUAUUCAUGUCCGACUUAAAUUUCUCAUAUUGUCUGCAUUUAUGUGACUGAUGUUCAAUUGCACGAGGUUUCCUAUGGUUAGUCACUCAGUUUUUAUUUGUACAUUUGAUAUCUUGUGACCUCCAUGGAUUCAUUAUAUUUCAAUUUUAUUCAUGAGCCGUGUUUCUGAUGGUAAAAUUUGGGUCAUGUCAUACAUUCUUAGACCUAUUUCUCUUCUGAAUUCUAUGUAUGGCAUAAUGAGCUCCUUCCUCACAUCAUGGCUGUCUGGAUUCCCCUUCAAAGAUCCCUAUUGUCAUAGUCUGUUCUGUAUGUAACUCCUUCAGACUGGACUCUUAUCUCUUAAAAGGUCUAGUUUUUGCAAACAUAUGUCUUCUUUCCAAAUCAACUGAACUGCUUCAGGAUGAGCUUGUUCCCCACACUCUAAACUAGAGUAAGCCAGGAAUGGUGCAGUGCCAUUAUAUGUUUUGAUCAACAUUUAUUAUAGAUGUGAAGUUACCUAAUCAUAAAACAAUAGCUUAUAAGUUGCCGCGAAUGUGGAUCCUUAAUCUGGAACAGGAAGUAAUCCAUGGAUAGUGAUGCAUUUUGGUUGACUUUUAGUGAGAGCUAUAUGUAUGAGAGCAAAAUCUAACAGAUCAAAUCCAAGCAGCAAUUUCUUUUGUAUGGAUGAGAGGAAAUCGGAACUUUGAGUACAUUCCUUCUGAUCCCCACUUUUUUCUUUUUGUUUUGAAUUGGCCAAAUUAGUCAAAUGGUCAGGUUCAUAAUUCUAGUCACAUUUCUCAGCCUGUGGUCUUUGACAGGACUGUUCUUUUUUGGGGAUUAAUGGGGAGGGUUGAACAAAACAAAUGGAUUAAGUGAAUGGUGGUAAAUAUCAAAGUCAGGUAAGUGGCUGAUUCCUAGAUUAUGCAAGUUGUCCUUUUUGUAUUUGUUCCUUCAACGUUUGGUUCUCUGUCAACCAAUUUCCCUAGAACUGUAUUACUAGGAUUGCUUAUUUUUUGGAAGUAUGUUCUUUCUUAAGGUCCUAACUAGUCUUGACGACAUGCUUGAUGCCUUGGUUAUUUGGCAUUGGUACACAUUGGCAUUUCUCUUCAUUUUCCUAACUCCUUUGCAUGUUGUGAUGUACAUAAUGUAGUGCUUAUUUGAUUUUUUGCUGAUCAAAAGUCAUCUUGUCAGAAGUUUAAGCGUUAAAGGGCAACAAUACCCAUUAACUUAUGCUCCAAGAGGACUCAGUAUUCUUAAGUGUAUUUUGAUGAGUGCAAUUUUACCCAUACUGUUAAAAAUAGUUGAUGUUCAUUAGGUUUAUGAGGUGGGUCGCACAAUCAUGCCACGUGUCAAGCUUUGACAGUUUCUCUCUCCUCUUUUCUUUUUCUUUCUACAGUCUCUACCAAUGGUCUCAUCUGACUAUUUCUUUUCUUCUCUCCCACAUAUCCUUUUCAUCAUUGUCAUCUUGAAUCUUCAUCACCAUAUUAAAUCCAACUAAUUAUUACUCUCUCCAAGAGAUGAUGCCUCCUAAGCAAGAAACCACUACUGUACAUGUGACGUUGUCGAGCAUUUUGGCCUUCCCUAACUGGCUGUUGCAGUCCCAUGCUCCACCACAUUCCCUCUUCUCUCUUCUUUUCUUUUUGUCUCUCUCUUCCCUCGACCAUCCCUUUUCUUCUCUCUCGUGCUAAACAUAUUGCUGCAAGUUUAGUCACGACCAGUUCAAUCAUGCAUUCUACACUUAUGAACAAGAGGAAGAUGAGGAUCGUGGAGGGGAGUGGAGGGAUGAUGAAGUUGAAGACAGCUUAGUCACGUGCUCCACACUCACGCUCUUACCUCUCUCUCUCUCUCUCUCUCUCUCUCUCUCUCUCUCUCUCAACUAAGUCCUCACCCUUCUGUCUCCCUCUCCCCUCUCCUUAGGCCUCAGACUGUGACCGCUAUCUUGGAGAACUAGAUUCCUCAGCAUCCACAAUCAUCCACAUUUUCGUUGCACCCCCUGGUGUUCUUGCUUCUUGGUUCUCCAAUCUGUUGCUUGUUAAACUCAUUGUGCAAGGCCGAUCUCCCUCUAACAAUAAGAAUACAUUGCCACCUGUGAUCAUAAAUGUUGGCAAGAAGUGCUCAUCAAUCGUCAAUUGCGAGGAAUAAGGUCUUGGGAAGCUCCAUGUGGAAGUCUAUAGGAUGAUAAUGAGAGGUAAGAAUAGAGAGGAAGAUGGAGCUGAGGGACAAGUAGAGGGCUUGGGGUGUUGAACUUUGGGGGCACGUUGGUGGUCGUCGCCUUCUGCUUAGUCAUUGUCCAUUUCAAACCAUUGUGAGCCCUGUUCCGACAAUUCUCAAUGAUGAUUAGAGGGAGCAUGCGAUGGUUGACGAAAGAGUUGAGGAGGUAGGCGUAUUGGUCCAAGCAUCAAAUGGUUGAGAGGGAAUAGACAUUGAUUGGAAAAAAAAGAAACGGAGAGGAGGGGAGAGGAAGUGGAUGGUUGCCUAUGGGAACUUGACACUGGGCAUGGUUGUGGGAUCCACACUACAAAACUAACGGAUGUUUGCCCAUUUUACCAGUUUAGGCCUAGUUCAUGUAAAUUUUUUUCACCUUUGUUCACAUAAGGAUGUUGGGUGCCUCUGGAGAAAAAUAUAAAGGGUAUUUCUGCCCUUUAAACUAAAAUUUAUUUGGCAAAAGUCAGUUUAGUGAUAGUUAAUUAUUUCAAUGAAAUUUGUGUGUGAAUACAUUUUUUCAAAACUCUUUAAUAAACUGAUUGUUUGGAUUAUAUAUGAUGAAGAGUGCUUUUUACUAUUACUAUAAAGAACAUUGAUUUUUAUGAUUGGUAAUUUUUGUUAUACAAAUAAGAUAUAUUAAAAGUAGAAAUUUUUGAAAAUUGUGAUUAGAGUUUUAAAUUGAAUGUCAUAUGCUAUUCAGCUCCCUUAUUGGCAAAUGUGUUUUCCAAAUGCUGGAGAUCAUUUUGGGCAAAUGUAAUUUGGUGAAUUUUUGUUCAGUACUUGUAGAAUGGGCUUUAGAAUGAAUUUUGAUUACCGAAGUACCUUUCAAAAGCCUAGAAUGGGUUUACCAAAUAGCAUGUAUUUAAAGUUCUAGUUCUUUGUACCUUUCCUGUGGCAUGUCAAAUGCGGGAAAAAGUUGAAGUCAGAAUGAGAAACAAAUAUUUUUGUGAAAUAAUGUAAUUUGAGCGGUUUAUUGCAAAUGACAUGGGCUUAUGUGUCACCUUGAGAUUCAUCAUUCUGUAACACGGAAGUUUGAAGGAUAACCUAAAUAAUAUCCACAGCUUUUUAAAAGGUUUUUUCUGGGGGCAUGACUUGGUUUCUCUCUGACACCAUCGCAUCCAAGAAAAACGAAAGGAAAGGUGUGCCUGGUUUGUGUUUGUUUAAAUAAAAUUCCAUUGGUCUUUUUUUAUCUGAAAUGCUUAAAAACUCUCGAGUUUAUAUCAUAGAGGAGCUUAAUAAUAUGAAUAAUAAUGAUGAUUGGUGUUUAAUUUUAGUUGAGAAUUAUAUUUUUAAUUUAAUUUAUGCUUGUAUGUAUAGCUUUAUAUCAACGUGUUUUUAUAUUUGAAAUGUUGAAUGCCCAUUUUUCCUUUGUACUGGUCAUUUUCAAUAUUUUGUAAAUAAGGGUAGUAAUGAAAUUUUUGGUCCUCUUAAGUUUGUUUCAAUUAUCAAUUUGGUACUUGAAAUUUAUACUUUAUCGGUUAAAUUUUUCAAGUUUCUUUCAGUUAUAAUGUUACUCCUGUGGUUUUUGAAACAACAAUUGUCUCUAAAAUUAAUUCGGUUAAAGAUAUUGAUGACUGGGCAUGUAUAUGUGGCCCCCUUUUCCCCCCGAGAACAACGCUGAUAUGGGUAUAUUUUGUUUUUUGUUUUGUUUUUUUUUUUUUGAACUUCUGACUCUUCUUUUCUUUCAGUUGCCAAAAUAAUCAAUUUUUUAUUCGUUAAUAUACAUGUAUCUCAACUAAGUAUUUUGUCACCCUUGUCAGUGUAAUUUUAGCGGUAUUCCCAAAAAAUCAAAGAAAUUAAUUGUGCGUGGUUAUGAAAUUUGAGACUUUAUCAAUAAGUAGUAAAUUGCAAGGAUCAAAUAAAGUUGAGUGACUGCAAUUUCUAUUAUUUCUUUGAAUGCACACGCAGAGUUGCAGACAUUUUAAAAUUGCAAUAUCUGAAUCAUUGUAUCUUGCAUGAUACACGUAGUGUAACAUAAUUUGGUUGCAUGCCCAAAAUGAUUGUUUGAGAAGCUAUUCAGCGGUUCUCUCAAUUUGAUUCGAUGGCUCCAGCCACCCUGCUCUCUCCUGCAUAGGAGUCUUUUAUCAUCACCAUUGGCAUUACCUUUGCGGGAUCCAGAUGUUUUGCUGGAGGGAAUGCUAAUAUAUUGUCGAGUGAUUAAAUUUUUAACAUUUUUGUAUCUUUUGCACACAAGGGGAAUGCCCAUAUAAUUAUGAACUUCAUCCAAUGGAAUUAUGAGCUAUGAUGCUGGGGUAAUGGAUGGUUCGAUUAUUUGAGAAGCUAUAAUCUGCUCUAAUGUUUGAUUAAUGGAUAAACCUUGAAAGAGCCCCCCGGGGGGGGGUGUUCAAUAAACCUUGGGGUUUUUAUUAGCACCAUUUGCAUUAUGUUUGCUUGAUCCAAAUUCGAAUCUCAUCAAAUAGAACGUGCUGCACUGCUGCUGGUAUCACCAGUCUUAAAAUCACCUAUUUUAUGCUAGUGCUCAUGAAAGAUGGUGCCCUUGCGUCUAUUUAUCUCUCAAAUGCAACUAUGUUAUCAUAUGCACUUGCAAAACCUGAAACUAGGAAAUGCAGCAAUAAGAUUAUGCCGAUGUAUGAUUCUUACGAUAAUGGGUCGAGGUAUGGUUACCUCUGAUGUUGAGGAUCAUUUUUAUGAAGCCUGGUCUUUGACACAAGCUGUAACACAAGACGUCUGUAUGUGCCUUAUUUCUGGUGUUAACUGGCAUCUUCCUCGUGCUCAUGUAGAUGGAUUAUUAAAACGCAAGGAAAAAAAAAAAGCACUCGACAGUGCCCUAGGAUUUGUUUUUUAUGUUGUAAAUAUUUUGGGUCUGACGAGUGUUAUUGAUGUUGACACAUGAAAAGUGUGGCUUAUUACUCGAGUUUUAUAUCAUCUGUCGGUUAUUUUGUUCUGGCUACUUAAUUCAGCAAUGUUAUCUUGCUUGAGUGCCCUAUUGUUCUGAACUUUGAUUAGAGGGUCAUAGUUGUAUUGAAGAUGAGGUGGGUGCCCUGAAUUCCGACCUGUGUUAACUGUCUAGUGUCUAGGUAUUAUGGCAACUAGGUCUUGUGAACUUUUACUUUGUUGUGCCAAUGCUUUUCUUAACUUCUUGUUCGUCCUGUUGCUGCUUCACUAAAAUGUCGAGUGAUUUUGUUGGGAUUUUAGUCCACACGUUAAUAUUCGGGCAUUAUAGUGAGAUGCUUGAAUUAGAAUAGAAGCUACUAGUUGUCGCUGGAAAGUUCUGGUUAUCACAGUUUAAGUGAUCAACGUAAUGUCAUCGUGUCAGAGGAUCUACGGUUUCAUCCAAUCACCUGAACAGCGAGAAUGUCGGUGGAAUGAAUCAGUCACUUAGACUUUCGAACGCUUUAUGGGCACUCAAUAAAUGUGAACUAGGACUGCUUUUUCUGUCAUUACAGAGAAAUCAAUAAAUGCACUACCUACUUUGUGAGAACAGUUUACACUAUUGAAGUUGAAUUCUUGCAUGCCACUGAUGCACCAAAGCUUCCACGACUGCUACAAUGGAAUUUACUUGAUGACCUGUACGUACGUCCUUUACGCCACCACUGAUAUAGGUCUUUGGCGUGGCGUGUGAACUGCCCUAAACGACUAUGGUACCAUUUAGGUACGACACUAUUUUACUUCUCAAAAUGGUCUUCAACAUUGUCGUACCUCUCUUCCUUAGACUGAGGAGAAUUCAAAUCUUUCAAUAUUGUAUUCCUCGAUGAAUUUCAAUAUCCUUAUAUGUGUUGAAUCAUGCGUGUACAUUGGCUUCGCCUCAAUGGUUGUAAAAUUAUGGAGUGAAAAAACUAGAAAAUGCAGAAAUUCUGUUCAGUUGUUAAUGGUUUGUUAUUUUCGGAGCUAUAAAUAAGAAAUUUAUAUUUAUUUUCA